GGUGGCGCAAUGGGACAGCACAUCUGGCUGCUAACCAGAGGGUUGGUGGUUCGAGCCCACCCAGGGACA